rnacentral:lncRNA from 1 species
UUAUGAUACUGUGAUCAUUUUAGCCUCAUUUUCAUUUUGCAUUUCUUAAAGGGGAAAAAAAUUGGUUCUUUUUGUUGUGUUGCUGAUAGUUUCUGGACUGGUUAUUUCUUUUUCCCAAGAUACAUCUUCUUUCGGUUUUAUAGAUAUUGAUACUAGACGCAGGGCUGCUUGUGAUCUUGUACGAGGAUUAUGCAAAUUUUUUGAAGGUCCUGUGACAGGAAUCUUCUCUGGUUAUGUUAAUUCCAUGCUCCAGGAAUAUGCAAAAAAUCCAUCUGUCAACUGGAAACACAAAGAUGCGGCUAUUUACCUUGUCACGUCUUUGGCAUCAAAAGCCCAAACACAGAAGGUACAGCUUUUCUUGUGGUUUUGUUUUUGAAACACAUUGGCAGUCACAGGACUCAAACUAUGUAUUUCUGCUGUUCUGUAUUUCUUCAUAUAUUCUUUCCCAGUGCUUCAUGUAGAUGAACCCAGUGCUCCCUUGCCUCUCGAUUCAUGCGGAGACUCUGUAGAGGACAUUAACUAAGCUACUUUGUUUAGGAGCAUUUAUCGCCUUAGGACUUACAUGUACAGGCUGGAGAGAUGGCUCAGUGGUUAAGAGCACCUGACUGCUCUUCCAGAGGUCCUGAGUUCAAUUCCCAGCAACCACAUGGCGGCUCACAACCAUUUGUAAAGAGAUCCGAUGCCCUCUUCUGGUGUGUCUGAAGACAGCAACAGUGUACUUAUAUAUAAUAAAUAAUCUUUAAAA